AUUGAACGCUGGCGGCAGGCCUAACACAUGCAAGUCGAGCGAGCGGCGGACGGGUGAGUAAUGUAUGGGGACUGCCCGAUAGAGGGGGAUAACUACUGGAAACGGUAGCUAAUACCGCAUACUAUCGGAUAACCCAUAUGGGAUUAGAUAGUAGGUGAGGUAAUGGCUCACCUAGGCGACGAUCCCUAGCUGGUCUGAGAGGAUGAUCAGCAACAAUGGGACUGAUACACGGCCCGGACUCCUUCGGAGCCAGCAGUGGGGAAGAUUGCACAAGGGGCGCAAGCCUGAUGCGGCCAUGCCGCGUGUAUGAAGAAGGCCCUAGGAUUGUAAAGUACUUUCAGUCGGGAGGCGUUACCGACAGAAGAAGCACCGGCUAACUCCGGGUCAGCAGCCGCGGUAUUUC
rnacentral:rRNA from 1 species